rnacentral:rRNA from 1 species
GGCUCAGGAUGAACGCUAGCGGCAGGCUUAACACAUGCAAGUCGAGGGGUAUAGUUCUUCGGAACUAGAGACCGGCGCACGGGUGCGUAACGCGUAUGCAAUCUACCUUUUACAGAGGGAUAGCCCAGAGAAAUUUGGAUUAAUACCUCAUAGUAUGUGAGAAUCGCAUGGUUUUCACAUUAAAGUUCCAACGGUAAAAGAUGAGCAUGCGUCCCAUUAGCUAGAUGGUAAGGUAACGGCUUACCAUGGCGACGAUGGGUAGGGGUCCUGAGAGGGAGAUCCCCCACACUGGUACUGAGACACGGACCAGACUCCUACGGGAGGCAGCAGUGAGGAAUAUUGGACAAUGGGCGCAAGCCUGAUCCAGCCAUGCCGCGUGCAGGAUGACGGUCCUAUGGAUUGUAAACUGCUUUUGUACAGGAAGAAACACUCCCUCGUGAGGGAGCUUGACGGUACUGUAAGAAUAAGCACCGGCUAACUACGUG